AACGAACGCUGGCGGCAUGCCUAACACAUGCCAGUCGAACGAGACCUUCGGGUCUAGUGGCGCACGGGUGCGUAACGCGUGGGAACCUGCCCUUAGGUUCGGAAUAACUCCCCGAAAGGGGUGCUAAUACCGGAUAAUGUCUUCGGACCAAAGAUUUAUCGCCUUUGGAUGGGCCCGCGUUGGAUUAGCUAGUUGGUAGGGUAAAAGCCUACCAAGGCGACGAUCCAUAGCUGGUCUGAGAGGAUGAUCAGCCACACUGGGACUGAGACACGGCCCAGACUCCUACGGGAGGCAGCAGUGGGGAAUAUUGGACAAUGGGCGAAAGCCUGAUCCAGCAAUGCCGCGUGAGUGAUGAAGGCCUUAGGGUUGUAAGGCUCUUUUACCCGGGAUGAUAAUGACAGUACCGGGAGAAUAAGCUCCGGCUAACUCCGUG
rnacentral:rRNA from 1 species